rnacentral:rRNA from 1 species
CGGGGAAUAUUGCACAAUGGGCGCAAGCCUGAUGCAGCCAUGCCGCGUGUAUGAAGAAGGCCUUCGGGUUGUAAAGUACUUUCAGCGGGGAGGAAGGGAGUAAAGUUAAUACCUUUGCUCAUUGACGUUACCCGCAGAAGAAGCACCGGCUAACUCCGUGCCAGCAGCCGCGGUAAUACGGAGGGUGCAAGCGUUAAUCGGAAUUACUGGGCGUAAAGCGCACGCAGGCGGUCUGUCAAGUCGGAUGUGAAAUCCCCGGGCUCAACCUGGGAACUGCAUUCGAAACUGGCAGGCUAGAGUCUUGUAGAGGGGGGUAGAAUUCCAGGUGUAGCGGUGAAAUGCGUAGAGAUCUGGAGGAAUACCGGUGGCGAAGGCGGCCCCCUGGACAAAGACUGACGCUCAGGUGCGAAAGCGUGGGGAGCAAACAGG